rnacentral:ribozyme from 1 species
GGUGUGGGUGGGUGUUUGGAUUUUGGCGGUUUUCUUUGAUAUCGUUCUCCCUCUUUACUAUUAUUGUUAUGAUUGCAUAUUAUAAUUGGGUGCGUAUUAG